rnacentral:rRNA from 1 species
AUUGAACGCUGGCGGCAGGCCUAACACAUGCAAGUCGAGCGGAGCGGCGGACGGGUGAGUAAUGCCUAGGAAUCUGCCUGGUAGUGGGGGAUAACGUCCGGAAACGGGCGCUAAUACCGCAUACUAUCAGAUGAGCCUAGGUCGGAUUAGCUAGUUGGUGGGGUAAAGGCCUACCAGGGCGACGAUCCGUCACUGGUCUGAGAGGAUGAUCAGUCACACUGGAACGAGGCAACGGUCCGGCUGCCUACGGGAGGCAGCAGUGGGGAAUAUUGGACAAUGGGCGAAGGCCUGAUCCAGCCAUGCGGGGUGUGUGAAGAAGGUCUUCGGAUUUUAAAGCCCGUUAAGUUGGGAGGCGUUACCAGCAGAAUAAGCACCGGCUAACUUCGUGCCAGCCGCCGCGGUAAUUC